GUGAAUGGAAAACGUUCUUGAAGAAACGAAGGUUAAAAUAUGAGGCUGUAGCGUGACGCAGGGUGGUACUGGAGGUGAUAUCCGGAGUAAUCAUGCGGGAGCUCCCAUCCUGAAACACGCAGAUCUCCAUGUGGCUGAAGCGACCGGCAGAUGCACACGGUUCUUAAUAUACUAUAAGCGUGUCUAAACAUUUACAUGAAGUGCAGCUCGACCGGUCGCCAGCCUCUGGGGAACAUCCCGAGGAUGGAUGAAAGCUUCCAAAGCAAGACUGUGGGGACAACGGUCAACACACUCAAAUCUGUCUGAAGUCGGUGAACCUGUGAUGUUUUUUUUGAUGUGCAUCUCACUCUGUUGCUAAUAAACUUUAAAAUUGUAA